AUGUUGAGGGCCGUCAUCUGCCUACCAAGUGAGGAGGGAGUGGCCCCCAAGAUCGUCUCAAGUGAGAAAUUUACGGACCUCAGAUCGAUAGACGUGCAUCUCACACAACCCUGGAUUUUGGUGGGUCAUGGCAAGCUUCUUUCGAUGUGGGACUACAAGAGGCAGGAACCAGUGGUUGCAUUGGGUGUCGUGGGGGCAACGAUAGUUUAUUCGGUUAGGUUCAUCCCUCGACGUGAUUGGUUUGUAGCCGGGGAUGAUAAUGGAUACAUUCACGUGUACUUGUGUGUUACAUGGAAAGAAGUUAAGAGUUUCCAAGCUGGAGACGGUGGUAGCUCUGAUGUCACAUCACUGGCGAUUCACCCUACCAGCCCGUACCUACUAUCUGCGUGUACAGACGGCGUGGUCAAGCUGUGGGACUGGGACAGUGGCUGGGAAUGUAUUCGAACAGUUCACUCAACUGCAGGUUUGAUGCAAGUUAAGUUUAAUCCCAAGGACACCGACACCUUUACUAGUUGUUGCGCAAAGGGUACAAUGAGAAUGGAGAUCUGGUCCAUUUAUCCUUCCGAUGAGCCUAUCGCUGCAAUAGAACAAAAUUCGUCCAGCCUCUAUGAUCACGUUUUCACCGAGGGGGAUCAGAACCAUGUGGUUAUGCUCAUCCAUGGUCUGGGUCUACAGGAAAGUUUUGUUGUGUGA
rnacentral:rRNA from 1 species